rnacentral:rRNA from 1 species
CAGUAGCCGCGGGAAUACGUAGGUCCCGAGCGUUGUCCGGAUUUAUCGGGCGUAAAGCGAGCGCAGGCGGUUUGAUAUGUCUGAAGUUAAAGGCUGUGGCUCAACCAUAGUUCGCUUUGGAAACUGUCAAACUUGAGUGCAGAAGGGGAGAGUGGAAUUCCAUGUGUAGCGGUGAAAUGCGUAGAUAUAUGGAGGAACACCGGUGGCGAAAGCGGCUCUCUGGUCUGUAACCGACGCUGAGGCUCGAAAGCGUGGGGAGCGUACAGGAUUAGAUACCCCGGUAGUCCCUGUCUCUUAUACC